GAAACAGGAUCCAUAUUUGUUGGUGGUUUGCCUCAUCCUUAUGCAGCAAAACAGAUUUCUGGACCUGUCUACAAUUUCACUGGCUGCAUAAAAGUUGUAGAAAUCAAUAACGUCGGACCUUUCAGCUUCUCUAAUGCUGUGGGAAGAAGUAAUGUUGACAAUUGCAGAAUCUCUGUGCCCACACAUCUAUCAACAGCACUCCCUGUGGUUUCUUCUGAUGUGCCUCACUUGCCUGACCCC